rnacentral:rRNA from 1 species
UACAGAGGGUGCAAGCGUUAAUCGGAAUUACUGGGCGUAAAGCGUGCGUAGACGGUUAUUUAAGUCAGGUGUGAAAGCCCCGGGCUCAACCUGGGAAUUGCAUUUGAGACUGAAUAGCUAGGGUGCGGAAGAGGGAAGCGGAAUUUCCGGUGUAGCGGUGAAAUGCGUAGAGAUCGGAAGGAACACCAGUGGCGAAGGCGGCCGCCUGGACAGAUACUGACGCUGAAGCGCGAGAGCGUGGGGAGCAAACAGG